GUAGUGCAAUGGGUAGCGUGUUGAAACUUCUAUUACAAAGGUCGUGGGUUCGAAUCCCAUUUCG